rnacentral:rRNA from 1 species
GAGUUUGAUCUUGGCUCAGAUUGAACGCUGGCGGCAUGCCUUACACAUGCAAGUCGAACGGCAGCACGGGAGCUUGCUCCUGGUGGCGAGUGGCGAACGGGUGAGUAAUGCAUCGGAACGUAUCCUGGAGUGGGGGAUAACGUAGCGAAAGUUACGCUAAUACCGCAUAUUCUGUGAGCAGGAAAGCGGGGGACCUUCGGGCCUCGCGCUCUUGGAGCGGCCGAUGUCGGAUUAGCUAGUUGGUGAGGUAAAGGCUCACCAAGGCGACGAUCCGUAGCAGGUCUGAGAGGAUGAUCUGCCACACUGGAGCUGAGACACGGUCCAGACUCCUACGGGAGGCAGCAGUGGGGAAUUUUGGACAAUGGGGGCAACCCUGAUCCAGCCAUGCCGCGUGAGUGAAGAAGGCCUCGGUUGUAAG